GUGUAUUUGAAAACGUCUAGAAUAUUUCAAGAGAAAAACAAAAUCGGUUUCUCCGGGACAAAUAAGAAUCGAGAGAGAAGAGCGGGGGAUUGACUUAUCCUCUGAUCGUGUGAAGGGGACUAUUUGUUAAUACACGAUCGACUAUGUGAAGAGUAAUAAAGAGAUUAAUAUUCGCAAUCAUGGAUCAAUCAUUGAUAUUGUGGCCACAUAUAAUCCUCGCAAUCAUCAAAUUUCCCAAAGUGAUUACCGCUUGACGUGAGUGAAAAAAUUAUUUUAUUUUAUCGCGAGUGCGCGAACGGGAAUAAAAAAAAAGUGAACUUGAUUUGUGACCGGUAUAAGCAGUGAGAUAAUGAUGAUUACACGUGAAGAGAGUGCACCAUCCUAGAUGGUGGAACAGCAACAUGCACAGCUCAAACAACGUCAAUAGCUGGAGCAAGAGAGACAGAUACUCGAACAGCGGCGAUUGCAACAGUCGACAUCGACGAUGUAGCCGGCGGAUAUGACGCAGAUGCCGAAUCUUUUUUUAUCUAGAGCCAAGAUGAGCCGCGUGAGCAUGAGAAUGCCGAAAUUUACACCUAUCGAUCCGGAGCUGUAGUUUCACAUAGUCGAUCGCAGCAUUCAAAGCUGCUGGAAUCAUAAUUGACGCAACGAAAUUUGGUUACGCUCUGAUGGCGAUAGGAUCGCGAUAUACCGCCGAAGUUCGCGAUAUUAUAAUGAAUCCGCCAGCGAAACGUGCAUACGAAACAUUAAAAAAUGAAUUAAUUAGACUUAAGGUCUCAGCCUGUCGCAGGAGCACAAAAUGCGUCGACUUUUGGAGCACGAAGAGAUUGGAGAUCGCAAAUUAUCUCAGUUUUUACGACACCUUCGUGGUCUCGCCGGAAACGUAGUUGGAGACCAAAUUUUACAAACAAUUUGGUUGAGCCGUUUGCCUGCAUAUAUUCAGCCACAUUUAGUUGCGCGAACGGAACGGUGAUAAAUACAUACAGGAUAGAAACAUUGACGCUAAAUUUAGAAUUGCGAAGGUCGUUCACUUGGCGUUUCGUGAUUGCCGAUGUGUCGAGGCCGAUUAUCGGAGCCGACUUCCUCGUGCAUUUCGGUUUAUUGAUCGAUAUGCAGGGCGGCAUAUUCUCGUCGAUCGAAUCACGAGUUUGACUGCACCCGAUCGCGUUGCAAUGUGCCUAGCAUCAAGACAGUCACUGGGAAGAUGCCGAAUCACGCAGAUGAUGAUGCGGUAGUAGAUAUCCGGAGAUGACGCGACUGGAAAGGCGGCCUGGCGAGACAAAACACGAAAUGCACCAUUAUAUCGCAACGAUGACGGGGUCAUCCGUGACAUGCAAGCCGCGAAGACUCGCACCGUAUCGUCUCACUAUCCUAGAAAAGAGUUCCAGAAGAUGGUCGAGCUCGAUAUAGCAUGCCCAUCAAAGAGCUGUUAGUCGUCGCCUCUGCACUUAAUACCAAAAAAGAGUGAAGAAUGAAGACCUUGCGGAGACCAUCGGGCACUGAACGCGUGAACAAUACCGGACUGUUAUCCUGUACAUCAUAUAUAGGACUUCGCACAGGAGCUUCGAAGUAAGAAGAUCUUUACUACCAUAGAUCUGGUCCAGGCGUAUCAUCAGAUACGUCAUCCGGUGGAAGACGUGCCGAAGACUGCAAUAACGACGCCGUUCGGCAUAUACGAGUUUCCGUACAUGUCGUUUGGACUGCGAAACGUGGCGCAGACGUUCCAGCAGUUUAUGAACGAGGUUCUGCCUGGCCUUGAUUGGUGCUACGUAUAUAUCGACGACAUCCUGGUCGCGUCGUCUUCUGCAGAGAAGCACAUGAAGCAUCUCGAAAUAUUAUUUGAAAGACUACAGGAAUAUGAGAUCAUCAACCCAACCAAGUGCGUGCUUGGCCAGUCGGAGGUGGAAUUUCUCAGUUAUUUGGUUACCGAAGAAGGAACUCGACCACUGCCGUGCAGACCCGCGCGAGUACAGGCGAUCCGAGAAUAUAGAGUGCCAAGGAUGGCUAGGGACCUUCGUAGAUAUCUAGACAUGUUGAAUUUUUACAGGAGAUUCCUGCCGAGAGUGCUGAGGUGCUUGCGCCAACGACCUCCUGCACGAUAACAUCAAGGAGAAGACGCCGAUAACAUGGAUCUCACAAGCUCAGCGGGCGUUUAGGGCAUCGAGGGAGAGCCUGGCUCAAGCGGUCUUGCUGGUAUAUCCGAAGAUUGACGAGCUAGCAUUGUUUAUCGACGCGUCCGACCACAGCGUCGGAGCGACGUUGCAACAACGAGGCGACAAUGGCUGGGAGCCUUUAGCUUUCUUUUCCAAGAAACUAAGUUCAGCCGAAUCGAAAUACAACGCUUUCGAUAGGGAGCUGUUGACCAUGUAUCUGACGACAGAAGCCUGAGAAGUGCAUGCCACGCCAAUUUUGCCACUUGGAUUUCAUCGGACAAUUUACGACUGACAUUAAGCACGUGUCUGGCGAUGACAAUCAUCUGUCGUAACAGAUGCGCUGUCAAGUAUAGAAGAGCUACAAUCACCAUUAAACUUUGCUGCACUUGCGAGUUCACAACAGGAUGACGAGGAACUUGCAGGAUUCCUACAUCGAGAGUUCGGCCUGCGGUUGGAGAAGUUAACGAUUUCGGAUACAGGAGUGGCUCUGUACUGCGACACUCGACCGGUCGUUCCUGACAGGGCCUUUCCGUCAACCCGCGUUCGACCUGAUCCAUCGAUCAUUGGCGCAUCCGGGAAUUAAGGCAACGGCGAAGCUCGUGACGCAGCGCUGUAUCUGGCUAUCCCUGAGAGCGGAUUGCAGGGCGCGAUCGUGCAUACCGUGUCAAAGAAAGACGGACCAUACCUGGUCGUCAGUCACGAUCGCAAGCUUUGUCGUGAAUAUACACAGGAAGAACACAAUUCAAUAGAUCACAAUUUGACAAUUUCAAUAGAUCAAUUAAAGCCUGCUUACAUUUUUUCAGAAAACAGCAACGCACCGGAGUAUGUUGACGCGCGAGCCUGCCGGGACGACGACGAGCAAGACGUGAUUUCGGGACAAACCGAAAACGAGCCAACAUCUUGGCAACAACCAAGGACGAGAACAGGCAGAAGAGUUCGCUUUCCCGAUCGUUUCCAGGCGGAUGAUAAUGAACAGAAGCAUUGUUAAAAAAUUGAAAUAGCAAAAUAGCGAAUUUAAAUAGCAAGAAAAGAAAAAAAUACGCGACACACACAACGAACUUAGCAUACGCAAUAGAGUAAUUAUACAUAAUUUAUUUAUCUUAUCUGUAUUUUUACGAUGACACGCGACGCCGCGUGUAAAACUUAGUUUAUUUAUUUAUUUAUUUAUUUAUUUGAUCGAGUGCGCUCAUGUAUAAUUCGCGGAUUAAAUGACUGAAACAUGAAGAUUUAGUAUUUACAUCGUGAAGUAAGUCCAUUACUGGCAGGGGGAUAUUGUGGCGAAUUUAUUGCCACUACUCCACCUGCAAGUUAAAAACUAAUAUGACAGUUUCGUAUCUUAAAGAAAAGAGUAGCAUAGGAGUUCGCAAGAGAUACCGAAUACAUGUUAGUCCGUGCAAAAGUUCUCAGCUGUUCGAAUGGAAAAAAAAAAGGAAAACACAAACAGACAAUCUAGACAGUAAACUAACAAGAUAAACAGCGAAAAGCGGGUACAGCGAAAAACGAGAGACGCGUUAUAAAUAAAGUCGCUAGAUUGCAUAUAUUUUUGUGUAUUUGAAAUAUUCGAGAAAACAAAAUCGGUUUCUUCGGGACAAAUAAGAAUAUUCGAGAGAGAAAAGCGGGGGAUUGACUUAUCCUCUGACUCUGGUCAUGUGAAGGGGACAGUCUGUUAACGCACAGAGUAAUAAAGAGAUUAAUAAUCGCA